AUGACCUUCUAUGAGAAGAAAGAAAAUCACUCAUUCCUAGCUGUGUAUGUGUGUAUCGACAAACAAGUUGGUUAUUGUCAAGGUGGCUUGCUGCCUCCUAUUUGCAUAGAAUACUUCUUUAUUACCUCAACUAGGUCAUUGCUGUUGAUGUACCUUACCUCAACUAGCUCACCCCAUGAUUUCUCCAAGCUUGGGUCUUGUUUUGUUUUUCUAUUUGGCCUCAAGAUUAUCUUCUUAUUUCUUUUGUCCUUGUGGAGCAGGAUUUUAUUCGUUACAAUAAGGGGUUCGUCGUGCCAGGCUCCGCGGCGCUGUUGCUUCCAUGUGAUGGUGUUGUUUGGCAUCGGCUACAAAAACAGCCACGAGGACCGGGAGCUUGCAGCAACAGCAUCUCCGACCCCUUCCUGA
rnacentral:rRNA from 1 species